rnacentral:lncRNA from 1 species
GGUUCAAAUCCCAAACCACCAAGGCGCCACUGAGGUUCCCUUUAGCAAGGUUUCCCCACACACUGUUUCCUGGUGCCUUUCAUGGCUGCCCUCUGCUCCCUAAGGACGAUGGUUUAAAUGCAGAAGACACAUUUCGGGGUUUUGUACUGUAUGCAGUGCAUCUCAAUGAUCGUAAUAAUCACACAAAUAUUCUGUAUGAUUUUGAUGGACAAAGCACCUUUAAUCUGCACUAUUAGACUAUAUGGGUGAAUAUUAACCUGUCCUUUUAACUGUCCUUUGCAGAAAGAAGGUGUGCCAUUCAACACUGAGCCCCCUCAUGGGACACAGGCCGGGCUCUGUGGUGUGAUCGAACAGAAGGAUGAGGGCACCCAUCAGACAGACUCAGCCUGUGGAGCACAAACUCGGCCAGGCCAGGCUGGCCUCUGCGAGAAACACUACAUUGAGUAUCUGGUCAGUCUCAUCAAUGGACACUCCAUUGACCCCUCCCCUCUCUUCAAUGCCAAUGAGCUGGUCCUGGCCUGUCGGAGAUAUCAAGUGGAGGAACCACGGAGUGAGGCAGAUGAUGACCGGACAUACUACUCCAGACUACUAAAGAAACUAAUGGAACAUGUGCCAUUAGGUGAUAAAGUUCCACGGAAGAAGUGAUAUAUGUACCAGGAAGUUAAAUUGUACUUUGAGAUGUCUAUACAAGAUACUCUGUGUAGAAAGACAUCUGACUUUUUGAUAAAGUACUGCUUGUGUAAGUGUACUGUUACACUACAGCUGCUCAACAACACAAUGCACCUACAAAUUUAGCUCUUUUAUAUUUAGUCUUCAAUCAACUGUCCAAAAGGAAAACAAACAAAGAGGGAUUGAACCAGCUUGCUCUACAUCUCUUCAACUGAGACAGGGGUUGACCAUGCCAAACACUGUGUUGUGCAUGCUGUGAGGUGGAAGCUUGUAAAAUCUGACAAAGAGCAUAUGGGCUUGUUAUUUAUUUAGACCAGCAGUGCUUGUCAAACACACAGUUUGGGUAACUGUAUUGUUCUGCAGUGCAGCAUGAAAUGCCAUUGAAAAGUCUAGCUGGUUUUCCUUUUUGUUUUUUUUGGAUACGCAGUGAAGCAUAUCUGACAGAAUUAAGAUCUCAGGCCAAGAUUGGAGAACUUGGGUAGAUGACCCUUUAAGGCGCAUUCUGAAUAAUGCUGUUUGAGAGGGGCAGGCAGCCAGGGAGGCAGAAAUGAUUGUGUAAACUGUAAAAUUCCCAGCUUCAUUAUCCCAGUUACAUAAAACACAUUGAAAUCAUGCUGCCUAAUUGUGGUGUUUUAUCACUGUAUGAUAAGUAUUAAGGCUUUUAAAAUAAACAUUUUAUUGUUGCA